UUCCAGACUACACCCCCUCUUGGGAGCGGGGUGGUCACAGUUAUAUAAAUGAUUUUAUGUGCGUGAGAAGCAUUCGCCUCUUCCCAUGGGAGCUGAACAAAGCCACCUUCCCUUUGACUUCCCAGUGCCUCCUCCUCCCUGCCUCGGGUCCUGUGCAGGAAGCAUGAUGUGCUCCCCUGGCUGACUUUGAUCCAGGCUCCCUGCCUUCGACUUUCCGGUCGUCCCUCUCCCGUUCCCCUCCACAGGCCCGUUGCCAGCCCUUUGAUCCUGUCUGUGACUUUCCACUGGGCCUCAUCAGGCUCUCUUAAGAUGAGGAAGCUUCAUCCAGCUCAGAUAUAAGCUGCUUGAAGGCAAGGAUCCUAUUUUGCACAUCUCUAGUCACCGGUGUGAAACCCAAGGCUUUUCUGAUUGCAAACAGUGAAAUUAUUGCCAGCUUUAACACAGGAGCUUUAGGAGGACAUCUCAUAUCCAAACUGUAACCCUGGGCCAAUAGACCACCACCACAACUCUGGGCUGGCAGAAUACGGUCCUGAGGAUCUGGUGAUUUUGCCACCCUCCAGGAGAGCCUGCCUGUUGGUGAUGCCAACACAGAGAUGCAUAGAGCUAAUGGAAGGGUAGGAGACAUAUCUCUGAUGAUCUAAUGAUGGUAUUAAGGGACCCGGAUCCUUUUCAGCCUUAUCCAUUCAUGCACUUUGCACCUGUGCAAGCCAAUAAAUGCCACUGUUCAACUUUCA